rnacentral:rRNA from 1 species
UACGUAGGGGGCAAGCGUUGUCCGGAUUUACUGGGCGUAAAGCGCGUGUAGGCGGCCACGCAGGUCCGUUGUGAAAACUGGAGGCUCAACUUCCAGACGUCGACGGAAACCGUGUGGCUAGAGUCCAGAAGAGGAGAGUGGAAUUUCUGGUGUAGCGGUGAAAUGCGCAGAUAUCGGGAAGAACACCCAUGGCGAAGGCAGCUCUCUGGGACGGUACUGACGCUGAGACGCGAAAGCGUGGGGAGCGAACAGG